UUAUGUGCACAUUAUUUACUUUAUUUCUAUAUCCAUAGGUUGAGAGGGACAUGGGAGCUGAAGCCUUGCCAUACAGUGGACAGGGAGAAAAGUCGGGAAUACUUAGUGAAAUACGUAUUGCCGGCUAUAAAGGAAAAGUGGCCUGAGAGCGAUAGAUGGAACACCAUCUACGUACAGCAGGACAAUGCAAGGACUCAUAUAAAACCAGAUGAUCCACUUUUUUUGCAGGAAGCUGCUAGGGGUGGUUGGGAUAUUAGGAUGAUAUACCAACCACCUAAUUCUCCUGACACAAACAUAUUAGAUCUUGGUUGGUUUGCCUCAAUUCAAGCCAUGUUCCAUAGAAAGAUGCCCAAGACCCUAGCUGAGAUUGUCCAAAAGGUUAAUCAAUCCCUAGCUGAGUACCCCCAUCAAAAGCUCAAUAGGAUCUGGUUGAGUCAUCAAGCAUGCAUGAGAGAGAUCAUCAAGCACAAGGGGUCUAUCCACUACGCGGUUCCUCACUUGAAGAAAAAAGCAUUAGAGAGAAAAGGACUUCUCCCGGUUCGUUUGACGAUUGAUCGAGAAUAUGUUGAGCAGGCAAUUGAGUUCUUGAACUCAA